rnacentral:rRNA from 1 species
UACGUAGGGCGCGAGCGUUGUCCGGAAUUAUUGGGCGUAAAGAGCUCGUAGGCGGCUUGUCACGUCGGGUGUGAAAGACCGGGGCUUAACUCCGGUUCUGCAUUCGAUACGGGCUAGCUAGAGUGUGGUAGGGGAGAUCGGAAUUCCUGGUGUGGCGGUGAAAUGCGCAGAUAUCAGGAGGAACACCGGUGGCGAAGGCGGAUCUCUGGGCCAUUACUGACGCUGAGGAGCGAAAGCGUGGGGAGCGAACAGG